rnacentral:rRNA from 1 species
GAGCUAAUACAUGCUAAAAAUCCCGACUUUGGAAGGGAUGUAUUUAUUAGAUUAAAAACCAAUGCCCUCUGGGCUCCUUGGUGAUUCAUGAUAACUUUUCGAAUCGCACGGCCUUGCGCCGGCGAUGGUUCAUUCAAAUUUCUUCCCUAUCAACUUUCGAUGUUUGGGUAUUGGCCAAACAUGGUCGCAACGGGUAACGGAGGGUUAGGGCUCGACCCCGGAGAAGGAGCCUGAGAAACGGCUACUACAUCCAAGGAAGGCAGCAGGCGCGCAAAUUACCCAAUCCCGAUUCGGGGAGGUAGUGACAAUAAAUACUGAUACAGGGCUCUUUUGGGUCUUGUAAUUGGAAUGAGUACAAUUUAAAUCCCUUAACGAGGAACAAUUGGAGGGCAAGUCUGGUGCCAGCAGCCGCGGUAAUUCCAGCUCCAAUAGCGUAUAUUAAAGUUGUUGUGGUUAAAAAGCUCGUAGUUGAACCUUGGGCCUGGCUGGCCGGUCCGCCUCACCGCGUGUACUGGUCCGGCCGGGCCUUUCCCUCUGUGGAACCUCAUGCCCUUCACUGGGUGUGGCGGGGAAACAGGACUUUUACUUUGAAAAAAUUAGAGUGC